GCAGCCGUGGUGGAAUUGGUAGACACGCGGGACUCAAAAUCCUGUUUUCGUUGAGAAAGUGAGAGUUCGAGUCUCUCCGGCUGCACCA
rnacentral:tRNA from 1 species